rnacentral:rRNA from 1 species
AGGCAGCAGUGGGGAAUAAUGUACAAUGGGCGAAAGCCUGACGCAGCGACACCGCGUGCGGGAAGAAGGCCUUCGGGUCGUAAUCCGCAGUCAGGAGGGUCGAAUUCUGGACGGUACCUCCAAAUGAAGCGUAGGCUAACUCUGUGCCAGCAGCCUCGGUAAUACAGAGGGUGCGAUAGUUGUCCGGAAUCACUGGACUUAAAGGGCGCGUAGGUGUCCUGCUAAGUAGGAGGUGAAAUCUUGCGGCUCAACCGCAAGACUGCCUUAUAAACUGCCGGGCUUGAGCACAGUAGAGGCAGGUGGAAUUCCCGGUGUAGCGGUGGAAUGCGUAGAGAUGGGGAAGAACAUCGGUGUCGAAGGCGGCCGACCUGGCCUGUGGCGACAAUGAGGCGAGAACUGUCCGGGA